GACGAACGCUGGCGGCGUGCUUAACACAUGCAAGUCGAACGCUGAACCCGCUUCGGUGGGGGAUGAGUGGCGAACGGGUGAGUAACACGUGGGCAACCUGCCCCCGGCUCUGGGAUAACUCCAAGAAAUUGGGGCUAAUACCGGAUGUGACCGCUGGCCGCAUGGUCUGGUGGUGGAAAGGGUUUCCGGCUGGGGAUGGGCCCGCGGCCUAUCAGCUUGUUGGUGGGGUAGUGGCCUACCAAGGCGACGACGGGUAGCCGGCCUGAGAGGUUGACCGGCCACACUGGGACUGAGACACGGCCCAGACUCCUACGGGAGGCAGCAGUGGGGAAUAUUGCGCAAUGGGCGGAAGCCUGACGCAGCGACGCCGCGUGGGGGAUGACGGCCUUCGGGUUGUAAACCUCUUUCAGCAGGGACGAAGCGCAAGUGACGGUACCUGCAGAAGAAGCACCGGCCAACUACGUG
rnacentral:rRNA from 1 species